rnacentral:pre_miRNA from 1 species
CAUCGCGUUAACCGGAAGUCUCAUGUUUCAUUGUGGGACUUCUGGGUGACACGACGUG